rnacentral:lncRNA from 1 species
CUGCUGCUGAAUAAGACAUCCAAGGAACAACGAAUAGCUAAAGCUUGACAUUACCCAUGAUAAUCCUGAAGUUCUAGACGAUUGAACUAAUUAUUUCCUAUUAACUACAGCUUUUCAACACAAUUUACUAUUAUUACGUGAGUUGAAAGAAGAAAGCGUAAGAAUUGGCACCUUUUCUGAGGUGAAGCCUUCAUAAAUGAGGCAUAUUCCUUUUAAAUUCUACGAUUCAAAUUUUCGAGGAAUAGAAAUUUUUUAAAAGCCAAAAAAAAAAUAAAAAUGAAAAAGAAUUAUGUAGCAAGGAAACACGUCAAAAUAAUAUUGCAUGAGACACAAUAUUACUUCAUGCAUCUCAGAAAAAGAUUAAUAUGGUCACAGCAUUUAAUAGGAUUUGGACUUAAACAAUUUGACACAUUAGUCUAACUCCAAGAAGCAAUUGUCUAGAAAAGGAGCGGAGAAGGUUACAUUACCAUUUAUAUCAAGUGUAACAAGUUAGCCCCCCAGGUCAGGGACAUUGUAGCCUUUCAACUUAAACUGGAUGGCCAUAGAAGUUUCCAGACUGCCUUGACUCAAAUGUUGAUUUGCUAUUUAGAUUUCUUUAUCUUCUGUUUCUUUACAUAAUAAAAUCAAGAUUAAGUAUCCUACUCCAGAAUACUAGUUCUUGAAACAAUUACAGGGAACCAAAGAUCAGGUUUCUCAGCUAAAAUAUUCAACAUGGUACAAUCCAAUAAUCAAUUCCCUGUUGUUUAUUAAGCAUAUACAAUGUGGGUUCAAAAACUAAACUUAUCGAAUGUGUAGUGUCACUUCUGUUUAUUAAUCAACAAGAGAAAGAACCAUCUCUCCUUAAAGCUAGAUAAUUGCCCCGUAUUCAAAUGCUCGAAUCUUUAUAAUCCUGAGAACUAAAUCCUAGCUGAAAUGACAUUGUUAAGGUCCUGAAUCUUCACAGAAAAAUGCAAGUCCACUAUUUAUAUAAAUCGAUGGAAGCCAAUUUAUGCAAAUGAUAUGUUCAGUCCUAGGAGAUUAAUUGUCCAGCCCUCUUUUAUUUUAAAAUAAGCAAUGCGAUAUGAAGCUAAUAGGCUAAUACCAUGUUCAACAUUACAAGUGACAAUCCGCGCAUGAACAAUAUUUCCUCACUUAAUCACUCAGUGGUUAAGCAGAGCCAUACGAUUCAUACGAAGCAAUCCCAAAUACUUUCUAGCCCUAGAAGUUUGGGCCAUCUGAUCUAUGUAUAAAUGACUGAGCCACAUAAACCAAAAAUGCUGAAUUCUAUUGAGUAAUGGACACAACGUAUUAAAAUAUGCACAUCUGCGCAUUGAUUAAUUAAACACGCAAACCACUCAAUAUUCAAUCAUACACGCAACACUCUAUUAAAGAAACAAGAAAAUCAAUAUUAAAAUAAUCGAAAGUAUAAAAGCAGGAACUAACAUAGAAAUUGAAUUACACUGAACAUGGAAAUGCUUCCACUGGUAACAUUAGUUGAUUCUUGUGAACGCAAUUAAGCCAUUCCCCGGACAUGCUGCAGGUUUUCCUGGGCAUGGAUGACUUUCAAGUUUCACCAUCUUCCAUUACCAGUGGAGAAUACCAUUUUCAUUUUUCAUCAUCAGCUCUCAGUUCUAUGUCGUUGUGCGGAUUGGGCCGGAUCCAU